rnacentral:rRNA from 1 species
AGUCGAGGGGUAGAGUAGCAAUACUUGAGACCGGCGCACGGGUGAGUAACGCGUAUGCAACCUGCCCUUUACAGGGGGAUAGCCCGUAGAAAUGCGGAUUAAUACCCCAUAGAUCCACAGAGCCGCAUGGUUCAAUGGAUAAAGUAACAACGGUAAAGGAUGGGCAUGCGUGACAUUAGCUAGUUGGUGGGGUAACGGCCCACCAAGGCUACGAUGUCUAGGGGUUCUGAGAGGAAGAUCCCCCACACUGGUACUGAGACACGGACCAGACUCCUACGGGAGGCAGCAGUGAGGAAUAUUGGUCAAUGGGCGUGAGCCUGAACCAGCCAUCCCGCGUGCAGGAAGAAGGCCCUAUGGGUUGUAAACUGCUUUUUCGCAUGAAGAACAUCCCCGACGUGUCGGGGACUGACGGUAAUGCGUGAAUAAGCACCGGCUAACUCCGUGCCGGCAGCCGCGGUAAUACGGAGGGUGCAAGCGUUAUCCGGAUUUAUUGGGUUUAAAGGGUGCGUAGGCGGCCUUUUAAGUCAGUGGUGAAAUCCUGCAGCUCAACUGUAGAACAGCCAUUGAAACUGAAGGGCUUGAGUGAUCUUGAGGUAGGCGGAAUGUGUAGUGUAGCGGUGAAAUGCUUAGAUAUUACACAGAACACCGAUUGCGAAGGCAGCUUACUAAGGGUUUACUGACGCUGAUGCACGAAAGCGUGGGGAUCAAACAGGAUUAGAUACCCUGGUAGUCCACGCCGUAAACGAUGAUAACUCGCUGUUGGCGAUACACAGUCAGCGGCUUAGCGAAAGCGUUAAGUUAUCCACCUGGGGAGUACGCUCGCAAGAGUGAA